AGAUUCCAGAGAUUCCUGAUGAGUAACCAGUGUAGGGAACUUCCCUGUGAUUGUAAAGCAGAGAAUGGUGGGUCAGGAGUGAAUCAUGAACGGGCAACCCUUCCAAAUGCAUAAUGAAAGGUCAUUCAUCCAUAUCCCAAUGAACUGCAAAAGAUGAAGGCACCGUAUUCGAGGGGAGAGUCUCCAUAUAAAGGACCCAUGAAGUAAAUGAAUCAAAUUUAGACACAAAGGAACUUGCCUGCCUUGUUUAGACCAGGGCCUAGAAGACGGGGGAUCUGCUUAAUUACAGCUUCUGAAGCCAAAAAGGCAUGGUACUUCUUUGCCAGUUUCUUGACCAGUUUUUUGUUCUUGUUAAGCUUCUUC